rnacentral:lncRNA from 1 species
AACCCAGUUCCUGGGAGAAUUAGUCAACUGUGAAUUUCUCUUGUCUUUAUCAUGAUCCCACAGCAUCCACAGUUUCCAUGCAGUGAGGAAGUUUAACUCAACCUGGUGAACUUCAAGUCUUCUCUGCUCAAUACUGUUGAUGUGGAGAUAAGUUGAUACACCGUCCAGGGGCAGUUUACAGUUUUUUGCUCAUCAUGCUGUGCACGGUUCUCUGUGGAACAGAGAUUUGAUGUUUCCAGAACCUGCCUCUGGCUCAGCAAUUCUUUCACUUGUCUCAAAUUUACUCCUCCUUUUCUACGCUCCUUGGGCACUUCCCCCUGCCACCCACCCCUGUGCCCACUGCCUGCUCUCUGGGAAAAUCACCUGAGGUCUAGCUGUGGCAGCCUCUCAGGCCUAGACUUGCCCACCCUUCCACCGUGAACUCUGCUUCUUUCUGCCGAGGGACAGAGCCUAUCCCUGAAUUACUUACAGAUCCUCCAUUUAUUCAUAUAGAACAGGGAUGCAAAUUCUCAUGGGACCAUGAUGAGGAUAUGUUCAAGAAAGAGUGUAAAGUGUUAACUAUGUUGUCUGGCACAUAGAAAGCACACAAAUAGAUGGUAACCAAAAAAAAAAGAAAGAAAGAAAAAGAAACACCUUCACAUUUUUCUAAAAUUUCUCUGCAUUUUCAUCCCCUGGUCUCAGAGGAGGAGGAAGUAGGGUACAUAGUCUUUUUCUGAGGCUAUCGCAGAUCCAUUUCUAUUCCAGCUUAAAACAAGAAAGAGGAAUUACAGGUUCAUAUAAUGCAAAAAGUUCCAGAGGGAGGACAGACUUCAGCUGUAAACAGCGCCAUGAGGCAUAGCAUUCUGCCUCUCUCCCCUGCCUUUGCUGACUGGAACUUCAGGUUAAGGUAGGGCCUUUUGGGAUCAAAGGGAGCUGCAGAAGUUCAGGACACCAUGCUUCAUUUUUCACAAUCAACAGAGAAUGAGAAUUGCUUCCAGAACAUUAUUCAGAAGAGCAAAGAAGCUUCUUUUUCCAAAGCCUCAAGAAGGGAUUCCUGCUGUGGCUCAGUGGUUAAUGAACCUGACUAGUAUCCACGAGGAUGCGGGUUUGAUCCCUUGCCUCACUCAGUGGGCUAAGGAUCUGGCGUUGCUGUGAGCUGUGGUGUAGGUUGAAGUCUUCGCUUGGAUCCCGAGUUGCUGUGGCUGUUGUGUAGGCCAGCAGCUACAGCUCCAAUUCGACCCCUAGCCUAGGAACUUCCAUAUGCCAUAGGCGCAGCCCUAAAAAGCCAAAAAAAAAAAAAAAUCGAAAUUAAAAAAUUUUUCAAAAGCCUAAAGAAAAUCCCUCUCAAAUCUCAUUGGUCUAAGUUAGAAAAAAUGCCUUCCCUAAACUAGUCAGGUGAUAAGUCCAUGCCAUUUUAGUCUAGAACCUCAUGCUAGCAUUCUAGAAACAAGGUGGAGUCACAUUUUCCCAUUGCAUACAGGGUUUGGGGAUACUAGGCUGUGUUGUCCAAUAGCACAGUUCCAGAAGGUGUGAUUCCUAUGGAUUUCUUUUCCAGAUCUGUGUUCUAUGUUAUCCACCUAAAAUACAAUGGGAAUGGUGCUUUCUGGAGUUAUUCAGCUGGUGGCAUUGGACUUAGAAAGAGGUCCUUGAAGUUCAAGGCAUGAAGGGGUACUAGAUACUGGAUAGCUCAUCACAAAGUCCACCCCCACCAUGUGCCUUUGAGUCUGUCUCUUCCUCCUACCUAUGGAUCUUUCUUUCCCCUGUUCAUUUGUCCUUUUUUUUUUUUUUUUUCGCUUUUUUUGCUUUUUAGGGCUGCACCCACGGCAUAUGGAGGUUCCCAGGCUGGGGGUGGAAUUGGAAUGUAGCUGCCGGCCUCCACCACAGCCACAGCAACACAGAAUCCAAGCUGCGUCUGCGACCUACACCACAGCUCACAUCAAUGCCAGUCCUUAACCCACUGAGCAAGGCCAGGGAUUGAACCUGCACCUUCAUGAAUGCUAGUCAGAUUUGUUAACCACUGAGCCAUGACGGGAACUCCCAUUUGUCAUUUUUCUUGAAUUAGCAUCAGCUCCCUUGUUAUUGGAUCAUUUGUUUGUGCUCAUUCUUCUUCAUCCAAAACCAAAAACAGGGAGUUCCCAUGUGGCUAAGUGGGUUAAGUAUCUGGCUUGUCACUACAGUAGCUUGGGUCACUACUAUGGCACAAGCUCUAUCCCUGGCCCAGGAACUACAAGUGCAGCAAGAAAAAAAAAAGCAAAACUAAAAACAAAAUUAAAUUAAAAUUUAAAAAUUAAAAUUUCUCCAUACCUGCUUCUCCAGCAAGCUACCUUGGCUUCCCCAGCACAGUUAUUAAAAGCAUGGUUUAUAUUAUUCAUUGCCCCCACUCAGUAAUCUGGCUUCUCUGCCUCCUGUACUCUGCUGAAUCUGCUCUCUUAGAAUCAUUUUUCUAUAAACCUGAACAUCAGGCCGCUUCCAACUUCUCUGAUCACCACAUCUUCUUCCUUGAAACUCUCUUUUCCUUUCUGUCCAUUUAUUUGAUCAAUUUUAAUUGUCCUUCUGCCAUGUGCCAAACACCAGAGUUGAUGCUGAGAAUGCAAAUGUCUUUAAAAGAAUCCAGUCCUUGCCCUCAAGGAGGUGAUAAAGGCAGUGGGAUGGCAGCCAAUGAAACAAUAGGUAGAGCCAUAGUGGAGCAAGGAUCUAACUCUGCUAGGAAUAAGAGAAGCUUCUUAAAAAGGCAGUUCUUGGACUGUUUUUUUAAAAAGUUAGGAGACUAUUGAUUGGAAAAUGUCAAAAGCACAAGGAACAGCAUGGAACAAUCAGGAAACUACAAGUGGCUUGGAGUAGGUGGGGUGGGGGGCAUGGCAGAGAAGGUGAACGAGGGGAGGGAGAUUAAGCUGUUCAAGAAGGUAGAAGCCAGGUCACUCAAGGGUUUGGACAAGGUGACAUGGGUCGUGAGUGGCUGCUGAAGGAGUCUGAGCCAUUUAACGGCACAAUCAGAUUUUAUUUCUUUCUGAUCUAUUUCUUUCUCAUCAUUCCAGUGGGGUAUGGAAUAGGCAGGCAGGUGCCCAGAAGAUGGAGGACCAGUAAGGAAGGUGCUAAAGAAUUUGGGUAAAGAUGAUGAUGUUUCUGAACAAUAACUAUGGUGGUGGAUGUAAAGAAAGUAGAAUAAAUUCAAAAGAUAUUUAGGAAAUAAACACAUAAGACAUUUAGUGUGGAAUAGGAAGUCAGGACUAGUUAAAAAAAAUAGAGAAACCAAGUGGAGAGAGAAAUUCAAUAAUGUCAAAUAGCAGAGAGCCGAGUCACAAAAAGAAGAGAGGCUAUGCCUGGUUUUCUCCUUACUUCUAUGAUCACUUCUUAUUGAUGCUGGGGCUCUUAGCCCAGCCCUGGAGUGGAGCUGCUUCCCAUUGAUAAAGUCAGAGCAGAUCUCCUGUAUUCUUCCCUUCAUAACACUAUGUAAUCUAUGGCUUCAACUACUACAACCAUGUCAUAAGCUCCAAAUCUACGUAUCUGAGUCUGGCUUGUUUCUCAAAUUCCAAUGUCAAGUUUCAGUUGCUUCCUCAAUGCCUUUACUUGGAUGUCCACCUACCCAUUCUAACUAAACUGAAAUCAUUGUCUUCAUUCCAAACUUAUUCCCACCCCCCUCUCUCUUAAUCUGUUGGUGGUGCUGUUAUCCUUUUAGCUGGACAAUCUGCUGUCACCUCUGCAUCCUUAUUAGUUCACUCAUUUACCCAUCAAAGAUGAUUGAGCACCUACAAUAUUUCUUAAACUCUUCUAAGUGCUAUAGAUGUAGUGAUGAUCUGAACAAAGUGCCUGCGUCAUUAUAGUGAGGGACUACACAUGGCAUUAGAUAAGUGGAAUGAUUUAAAAUACAAUAGGAUAAAGAGCCUAAGAAUGACAGAGUGCUUGCUUGCAAUGUCCAAUAAGUUCCCUUCACUUUUAAUGCCUUUGGCAUUUAUCCUCACCCCUUUUCCAACACUGACCAAGUUCUGCCUUCAAAGUCCCUCAUUAGACAAAUGGCAGGAACGUCUCAGUUUAAUCCAACUCAUUUGAAAAAAAAAUAUGUACUGAGCACUUACCCUCUGUUGGAUACUAAACUUGACACAGAUUCUGAAAUGAACUCUAAAAAUUUUGUAAUUUAGAAAGAGUGAUGAACACUGAAAUCAUUUAAAUACAAAAAAUCAAUACACUCCACUUGGAAAUUAUACCUAACUAGCCAGAAAAAGUCACAGGAUAAGUAGAUCACUUCUGAAAGGGACUCAGGGGAGUGAGUUGUAUUCAAAAUGCCACCUGAUGGAGUUCCCGUCGUGGCUCAGUGGUUAAUGAAUCUGACUAGGAACCAUGAGGUUGUGGGUUCGAUCCCUGGCCUUGCUCAAGUCAGGGAUCCAGAGUUGCCUUGAGCUGUAGUGUAGGUCACAGAUGUGGCUCAGAUCCCGUUGCAGUGGCUGUGGUGUAGGCCAGCAGCUACAGCUCUGAUUAGACCCCUGGCCUGGGAACUUCCAUAUGCAGCAGGCAUGGCCCUAGAAAAAGACCAAAAAAAAAAAAAAAAAAAAAAAAUGCCCCUUGAAGGAUAGAUUGGAUUUUGUUGGGUCUGGGGUGGCAGCUGGAGAGGAAAAUGCAUUCCAGGUGGAAGACAAUGAGUGAGUAAAGGCAGGAAUGUGGGAAAACAUGACCGUCCAGAUAAUAGUGGGUGAUAUCAUUGCUGGGAGCUUAGGUUCCUGGCAGAGGUAGCUGAGGCUAAGAAGAAAGACUAGGACCACUCUGAGUUGUAAAGGCUGAUCUGAUGAAUUUAUAUUUAAAUCAUUAGAUGAUGAAAAUCCAUCUUUUUCUCUUGAUUUUUAUUACAUACAUGAUCUUUUUAUUUGUUAAUUUGCCUGUUUACAAAAAACUUGUGGAAUUACUACCCACUACUUUCCUAGCAUAUUGGUUAUUUAGUAAAAAAUUACUCUACAAAGCUCAUGUGUUGAAGUAAUAUCUCAAGAUAUGAAAGUUAGGUGAUCUUCUGGUAAAUGGUGGCAUGACUGUAUUUACAUCUGGAAAAAGUAUGUUUCUGAGCUUUGAAAUAUUUGGUUUUUCUGAUUAUUUUGACAUUAGACAAAGACUGAGGUAAGCUAGCUUACAAACCUCUAUUUCUACUAAUUCUGUGG